ACCCUAACCGGUGCGAAGGUAGCAUAAUCACUUGUUCUUUAAAUGAGGACUCGUAUCAACGGCAUCACGAGGGUUCCACUGUCUCCUUUAUCUAAUCAGUGAAACUAAUCUCCCCGUGAAGAAGCGAGGAUACUCUUAUAAGACGAGAAGACCCCAUGGAGCUUUAAACCCAAUUAUAUCUCUAACCACUAUAACCAUUUAACCACUUAGAACUUAUAUACUUGGUUUUAGGUUGGGGCGACCACGGAGCACAACCAAACCUCCACGAUGAACGGAACAACCCCCUUAUCUGAGAAUUACACUUCUAAGAAUUAGCACACUAACAUAAAAUGACCCAUUAUUGAUCAACGAACCAAGUUACCCUGGGGAUAACAGCGCA
rnacentral:rRNA from 1 species